rnacentral:rRNA from 1 species
CCAAACCUGGUGAAGGGGAGCCUAAUCCCAAAAAGCCGUCCUCAGUUCGGAUCGGAGUCUGCAACUCGACUCCGUGAAGUUGGAAUCGCUAGUAAUCGUGGAUCAGCAUGCCACGGUGAAUACGUUCCCGGGCCUU